rnacentral:rRNA from 16 species
CUUAAUUUGACUCAACACGGGGAAACUCACCAGGUCCAGACACAAUAAGGAUUGACAGAUUGAGAGCUCUUUCUUGAUUUUGUUGGUGGUGGUGCAUGGCCGUUCUUAGUUGGUGGAGUGAUUUGUCUGCUUAAUUGCGAUAACGAACGAGACCUUAACCUACUAAAUAGUGGUGCUAGCAUUUGCUGGUUAUCCACUUCUUAGAGGGACUAUCGGUUUCAAGCCGAUGGAAGUUUGAGGCAAUAACAGGUCUGUGAUGCAGAUCGGAAG